AGAGGAGGGGAAGCCAGAAGACCUGGAUUACCCCCACCCCUGACCUCUGCCAACCUGGCUAUGGAAUUUUCAGCCAAGCCCUCAAGGUCUCCAGUGUCCUUUGACAUUUAGAUGAUCAUAACCCAAAUACUUAAAAGGUGUCAGAUGUGUACCAUGUUCUGAAGACUCUCCACCUUCUCCAGCACCCUCCCCCUUUGUCCUUCACAGGCAUUUCCUCCAAUCAAUCUUUCCUCUUCUGCUUCACAGAAGACCUGACAGACACAGACACCUCAUCUUUACAUCCUCCAUGCCUGGGACAUUGGCAGGGAUUCUGCAGCAGUGAUCAAGAGCACAGACACAAAUCAUAGCCUAGAGACUUGUUCCAUGGGUGGCCUUGAGAGCAGGAGAAAGAAGAAAUAAACAAUGAGGGUGGCUAAUGGAUGCAAGAGCAGUCAACAGAAUUCACUGGAAAGCAGGAGACCAACUGAGAGUAGCAGCUGAAACUAGGGAGAGUUCUGCCCUCCCCAACCCUGGGUAACUCAGCAAUCUGAAACACACAAUUCCCUGUUUUACCCUAAUUGCAUAAGGACUUUGCAGACUAUAUGGGAGCCCAGAUGGCAUUCUUCAGGAAUUCUAUAGGAGGGUGGCACCGGCCUCAGGAGGAGCAGACACUUUCCUGGUUAGCAGUAAGGCAGGGCAGUGUUGGCUCCACAGCCCAGAGAUGGCUGGGCACCUCCUAAAGAAAAUGGCCACCUCUCCACCCUCAAGGAGACCACCUGGACUAGAAAGGAACUGACUCCCCAGAGCACCGUGUGCCCUGGAGCAGCCACUGAACCUUCACCUCAGCUGUGAGAUGGCAGCAAGGCUGCACUGCAUCACGGGUCUUUUUCUUUAUUUCUGAGUGAUAGCAGUGACAUAACUUAGUAUGCCAUAAAGAGAUGAACCACCUUGCACGUGCCUCGGUUCCUGAUGUGCCACCAUGUUUGUCUAUUCCAUAAAACAAACCAAAGCAUUUAUUGCAUGACACCAUGUUCUAAACACUUUUAAAAUGUUCAUACAUAUAAUCCUCACAACACUA